rnacentral:lncRNA from 1 species
CAAAAAAAUCCACCAACAUGAAGCAAGUAUAGAUUUUUCAGAAAGAUUUUCACAAUGCCCCUGCAGGAACUUGACAGUGCCCAGACAUGCUACUCCUGCAUGGUCAGGACUAUUUGCUAGUGCAAAGACCUGGUCUGUUUGGGAGCCCAUUACUUUCAUUCAUUAAUAUUCAUGACAUUGAGUGGAGGUGGAGAAUGGGGCAUGAAAAUCCAUAAUACAGAUCAUCAUCAAACAAUAUGGAUUUUUGAUUUCUAAAAAUUUUGUAUUAAGAUUUGAAAAAUACCCUUAAAAAUCAAAAGAUGACUCUGUGAACUUGGGGCAGCUCAAUAUCGAGGCCCUUCUUUGAGGCAUCCUGCACUACCAUUGUUCCAGCUUUUCCUACUUCCUUUUGGCACUUGGCAUGGAAACAGACAGCAACUCUCUCACUCUAACCAUGCUGUAAGUCAGAGAAGGGCUCUCUUCUUCCUGCUGAGAUAUCCCUCCCUCUCCUUUUUUUCAGAGGUGAAUGCUGGGGUGGAGACAACAACGAUGGAAGUAUAAGAGAUCUGGAAGUGCUGAAGAAGUGACUGAGUCACUAUUUGAAGCAGGGUGUGGCUUCUGUGGAGCCUUGGCUGGGGCCUGGACUACUGAACACCUGAAACAGAUUUCCAAAAUGAGAGCUGACAUUUACUGAGUGGCACGUAUCAGGCCCUGUAUGGAAACUUUCCAGCUGUUGUCUGAGUUCAUCCUCAUGGAAAUGCCAUGAAGCAGGAGCCGUUACCAUCUCUGCUAUGCACCUGAGAAAGUCGGGCUUGCGGAGGGUAAGUAGCUCUACCCAUGGUCAGCCGGUCACUAGCAGAGCUAGAAUCUGAAUCUUAGCAUCCACGUGGCCACAGACAGUAAUCCGACUCCCAAACAUGGAAUGGGCUCUCCUUUUCUCUCCUAGAGUUCAAUGUAAGUCAAGGUCAGGAAAGUCCUGCAGAUAGAAAUAUCUGUUUUUAAGACUUGCAUACAAAUAUGAGGAGUCUUUUCACAAAAUUGCCUAUCAUGAAAAAUCUAUGUGCAGAGUUAGAAUUUUUUUGUGCUCAAAUAAAUGUGUCUUUUAAAUCUAAUUUUACA